rnacentral:rRNA from 1 species
GCCUGCGGAAGGAUCAUUACCUAGAGUUGUAGGCUUUGCCUACCAUCUCUUACCCAUGUCUUUUGAGUACUUACGUUUCCUCGGUGGGUUCGCCCGCCGAUUGGACAAUUUAAACCAUUUGCAGUUGCAAUCAGCGUCUGAAAAACAUAAUAGUUACAACUUUCAACAACGGAUCUCUUGGUUCUGGCAUCGAUGAAGAACGCAGCGAAAUGCGAUAAGUAGUGUGAAUUGCAGAAUUCAGUGAAUCAUCGAAUCUUUGAACGCACAUUGCGCCCCUUGGUAUUCCAUGGGGCAUGCCUGUUCGAGCGUCAUUUGUACCUUCAAGCUUUGCUUGGUGUUGGGUGUUUGUCUCGCCUUUGCGUGUAGACUCGCCUUAAAACAAUUGGCAGCCGGCGUAUUGAUUUCGGAGCGCAGUACAUCUCGCGCUUUGCACUCAUAACGACGACGUCCAAAAGUACAUUUUUACACUCUUGACCUCGGAUCAGGUAGGGAUACCCGCUGAACUUAAGCAUAUCU